UACGUAGGGUGCGAGCGUUAAUCGGAAUUACUGGGCGUAAAGCGUGCGCAGGCGGUUCGUUGUGUCGGCGGUGAAAGCCCCGGGCUUAACCUGGGAAUGGCCGGUGAAACUGGCGAACUGGAGUGUGGCAGAGGGGGGUGGAAUUCCGCGUGUAGCAGUGAAAUGCGUAGAGAUGCGGAGGAACACCGAUGGCGAAGGCAGCCCCCUGGGCUAACACUGACGCUCAGGCACGAAAGCGUGGGGAGCAAACAGG
rnacentral:rRNA from 1 species